rnacentral:misc_RNA from 1 species
UACGGAGGGUGCAAGCAUUAAUCGGAUUUACUGGGCGUAAAGGGCGCGUAGGCGGAUUGAUAAGUCAGAUGUGAAAUUUCGGUGCUCACCACCGAAGCUGCAUUUGAAACUGUCUGUCUAGAGGUUGGACGGAGAAAACGGAAUUCCACGUGUAGCGGUGAAAUGCGUAGAUAUGUGGAAGAACACCUGUGGCGAAAGCGGUUUUCUAGUUUAUACCUGACGCUGAGGCGCGAAAGCAAGGGGAGCAAACAGG